CUUCUCCAAUUUACUCACCCCUUGGUCCUUAUUUCUAACAUUCUAUAAUGUUUUACUUGUUUUAUCUUUAUUGUCUGACACAUUACUACUGAGGGAAUGAGUGAAUUGUCUCAAACUGUACCAUCCUCACUGCUCACAAAGUCGGAUAGCAAAGAGCGGUGGUAGCAGCUCAGACUGAAAGGGAUCUGGAUGACUUCAGUGAUGGAGGCAGCAGAUUAUCCAGGCUGAACUCAAAGUCCCACGCAAAUGAAGGUAGGCUAUCCAGAGAGAGGCAGAGCCAGUGUGGCCUAUCUUCAAGAAGGAAAACAUGGAAGGGGCACAGAAGUUAAAGCACUCAUUGAAGAUUUUUCCAGCUAUUAUGCGAGUGGUCACCCCAGUUCUGUCCAACGCUGCAGCCACUGGCCAUGCCAGGCUCUCGAGCACCUGAAAUGUGCCUUGUCAUAAUCGAGAUAUGCUGUCGUUGUAACUAACACCCUGGAUUUUGAGGAUUUAGAGUGAAAA